rnacentral:rRNA from 1 species
UAGGGAAUCUUCCGCAAUGGGCGAAAGCCUGACGGAGCAACGCCGCGUGAGUGAUGAAGGUCUUCGGAUCGUAAAACUCUGUUAUUAGGGAAGAACAAAUGUGUAAGUAACUAUGCACGUCUUGACGGUACCUAAUCAGAAAGCCACGGCUAACUACGUGCCAGCAGCCGCGGUAAUACGUAGGUGGCAAGCGUUAUCCGGAACUAUUGGGCGUAAAGCGCGCGUAGGCGGUUUUUUAAGUCUGAUGUGAAAGCCCACGGCUCAACCGUGGAGGGUCAUUCGAAACUGGAAAACUUGAGUGCAGAAGAGGAAAGUGGAAUUCCAUGUGUAGCGGUGAAAUGCGCAGAGAUAUGGAGGAACCCCAGUGGCGAAGGCGACUUUCUGGUCUGUAACUGACGCUGAUGUGCGAGAGCGUGGAGAUCAAACAGG